rnacentral:lncRNA from 1 species
UUUUUUUUUUUUUUUUUUUUUUUUAAGGAAAGGUACUACAACUAUGGGGUAGGAAUAUCAGGGUCAACUCAUGGUUCUUAAGACGGAGAUGAGAGAGAGAGAGAGGAAGACAGGGACAGAGAUAGAAAGAUAUUUAAGUCAGAUUUUUAGAAUUUAAUAGGCUACAUGUAUGUUGCCACUCUCUGGGGUCCUAAUAUAUGAGCACAAGAGAAUUUUAAAUAUUUCAAAAUAUUUUAACCAGCUAGUCCACUGGUUGUUUUGAUGAAAAUAUAUUCCUUUAUUAGGCGGGAAGAAGCUCUGGAGUAGAGAGUGUGAGAGCCCGUGAAAUGCAUCAUCGCGCCCCCUCUAACAUGCCCUUGGACAUCUUCAUUUCCCCUUUUUCAAGAUUCUUUUACCGCAUCUAAGAAGGAGAUCUGAAGAAGUGAAUUGCAGGUCGAGAACAGGACAUGAAUGUCCAAAUGUUUAAUAUCAAAAAUGUAGACUUCCAGGAGGAGUGGAGCUGUAGCCUCGGGAGUCCUGCGGGCAUAGCGGCCCGCCACCUCUGUCCCCACCGGCCCGCGGGGUGGGGGGGUAGCAGCUGCUUGGAUUCUCCUGUGUCUUGUCCUUACUCUCUCCAUCACUAGUCUCAAAAUUGGUGUCCCCACCCUUUUGUCCCCCUUACAUUCCCACGUCAAGUAAUCACACAUACUACAUUCUUUUUUUCCCCUCACAAGCUGUCUUAUGUCCAUCCUACAUUUACUCUUGAAAACUACACCCUUUAUUUGGACUAGACAUUUUUUUUAUCCUCCCAGGUUCUUCUCCUCAGCCCCCUCCCACAUGUGACUAUCAUGAAACAAAGCAGAUCUGUUUCCUCCUCUUGAAACCAGUUAUAGAAAUAGGGCCCAGUCUGACGGAGGAGGAGCCGUGUCAGAACUUCCUUAUCCUCAAACUUCCCGAUUUAUUUUUCCAUCACAAGCAACCCCUGCUUCCCACGCGGUAGCCUCCCCUCCCAUCGUGUGUUGUCCCCGACUUGGCUUUUCAUGUUACAAAUGCUUUAAAAAGCUUAUGCAUCAUAAAAUAUUUCAAAUACUCUUAACAUGUUUAUGCAAUUCUUUAUACCCCCUUCCUCCGGCGAUUCUCUUUGCGAGGGUGGGAACCAAAUUUCCAAAUAAUUUCUUUAUGCAGAGUACAAUUCGCGUUUCCCAGACAGAAAUGCUGUAGAAAAAUCCAACACAUCUAGACUGAGACAUCAAACGCGAUUGCUUGGUGAGCAUCCCAAGCCUCAAGCGUGUUGCUCUUCCCAAAUCUAUAAACCCAGGCUCCGCCGGAACGUCAGUGGGAGUUCUGGGCCACGCAGGUUUCACACGAGAGGAGGAGGAAAAGGACUGCGACAUAAAUAAGUCGAACAAACUUUAAUAAGCUCCCUCAGUGAGUAUCCACCUGGGGGACUGGAACACCUGCAAUGUGAAACCUGUUUAAUAACCCUCCAUUAAAUAAUUUUCUUUAUUUAAAUUAAAAUCCAGCACAGGUUAAAUUGUAAACAAGCAAGAUUUACAUAAUACCAACGCCUAAAAAAGUGGGGGAGUGCAGGGAUCCUCUAUUAGCCAAACAUCUUAAAGUAUUACAUUGUUCUGCUUUGCCUUGCAUGCCACUAUUUUGAGUGAUUUAUUAAAGCCAACUACAUGAUCGUGCGUAGAACUAAUGAAGCAAAUAUACUUGUGUAUCAAAGUGGCUUUGCCAGAGCAUAUCAAACAGUUUUAAAGAGAGUAAACAAGCAAAUUAAUUGCCAAUUUUCUCACAGAACGUGGCUUCUUAAUCGGUGAGAACUUUAUAGACUUCCUCAAGAUUUUCAAUGACCGUAAACUAUCCGGAGUAAUUUAUCUUCUUUGCCCACGUUAGGAACAUCUGCAAAAAUUUACUUUUCCGCAGUUUUAGAGAAAGAACGCUUUUAUUUCUUGGGAACACUCGCUGCUUCUUCCAGGUUGUAGUCACAAUUCUCCUGUUUUUACGGCGCUGGAAUUAUUCCGUAGCAAUUAAUCCCAAAGUCCUAAGUAUGAAAAUGAGACCCAGAAGCAAACCUUCCCUCCUUUCCCAUCCCUAACACACAAACAGUUUCUCAGGGUAAAGCAUUUGGGGAAAAUAGUCUGAAAUGAGACUCACAAGUAGGGUUACUUUUGGGUUAAGAGAGGUUUCCGUGCUCCCCUUUGCACCUCAGGGUCAAGCUCCCCGAGGGCAGGUCAUGCUGGGCCACGCGCACCUGCAAUGCGGUGCUUUGCACCUGGUAAGUGAUUAACACUGGGGUUUUCCCUCUAAUCCGUCCCCUGCCUUUUUAGAUCAUGGGAACGCCAUGUGCACCACCGUCUGUCAUUUCAUGAAUAUUUUAACAACAAAAAUAUGUUCUUUAUAUUAAAAACAACCCCUACGCUUCUUCAUAACAAUCGCCAUCCCAUGAGGCAGAACGGAAGCUGUAACCUGAUGGCUAGAUUUUUGUAUCUCUGUGUGGGAACUUGGAAAGUCAAGUCCAUUUCAUAUAAAAUAUAAAAUAUGUUUAAGAUGUUCUGUAUAUGAGGCAUAAAGUUCCUGAAAAUGGGUUAUUUUUAAUAGGAGAUGUUCAAGGUCCAAAACUUAAAGAGAGGAAGAUCCUUUGAAGAGGACUUUGAAGAGCACUUUGCAGUAUUAAUAAAGGGGAAAAGGAAGUUAAAAAAGAAGUUAAACGUAGGUUGCCAACCUAUCUUUUUAAUAGUGGUCCAAAAAAAGACACAGGGUCACCGCCCUUUCCCUGAUGACCAUAUUCCAGGGAUACUGUGAGGUAUUUGAAAUCUCAAGUAUGUUUUAAGCAUUUAACUAGCCCUUACCCAUUCUGUGACUUUCUCAUGUCCCCCCUACCUUACUGGUAUGUCAGAUUUUAUUUUUAUUUUCCUAGAAGACAGCUUUUUUUGUGUGUACUUUUUGUGUACUUCUGAUGACCAAAGGAUUCAAACCAAACCAAAAUUACCUUUGGAUAAAGUACAUUUAUUGGCCUAACUCGGAAUAAUAUGGAAUCUAGAAUGUGAAUAAAAUUUAUUUUUAUUUCUAUUUCUCUAUGUUUCUCUGUUUACAAUUUGUGAUCAGAUAUUUUAGGGUAAAGAUGUUUAUUUUCUUUCCUGAUAUUU